UGACGAUGUAACCAGAGUCCUGCCUUACACAGUUGCACUAACUGUUAAAGAAAAAGAAAAGAAAAAUGGAAACAUUGAACCGACGAAAGGAACUGGCCCUUCACGUUUUCCGGAAACUGCUAGAAAAACGUCCACGAAAGAACAUGUAAUGCUAAAACGAUGCACACUUGCUGUCUGAANUAAGUAAGU